GAUGAACGCUGGCGGCGUGCCUAAUACAUGCAAGUCGAGCGAACAGACGAGGAGCUUACUCCUCUGACGUUAGCGGCGGACGGGUGAGUAACACGUGGAUAACCUACCUAUAAGACUGGGAUAACUUCGGGAAACCGGAGCUAAUACCGGAUAACAUGUUGAACCGCAUGGUUCAACAGUGAAAGACGGUCUUGCUGUCACUUGUAGAUGGAUCCGCGUCGCAUUAGCUAGUUGGUAAGGUAACGGCUUACCAAGGCAACGAUGCGUAGCCGACCUGAGAGGGUGAUCGGCCACACUGGAACUGAGACACGGUCCAGACUCCUACGGGAGGCAGCAGAGGGAAUCUUCCGCAAUGGGCGAAAGCCUGACGGAGCAACGCCGCGUGAGUGAAGAAGGUCUUCGGAUCGUAAAACACUGUUAUUAGGGAAGAACAAAUGUGUAAGUAACUAUGCACGUCUUGACGGUACCUAAUCAGAAAGCCACGGCUAACUACGC
rnacentral:rRNA from 1 species